rnacentral:rRNA from 1 species
AGUGAACGCUGGCGGUAGGCCUAACACAUGCAAGUCGAACGGCAGCACAGUAAGAGCUUGCUCUUACGGGUGGCGAGUGGCGGACGGGUGAGGAAUACAUCGGAAUCUACUUUUUCGUGGGGGAUAACGUAGGGAAACUUACGCUAAUACCGCAUACGACCUACGGGUGAAAGCAGGGGAUCUUCGGACCUUGCGCGAUUGAAUGAGCCGAUGUCGGCUUAGCUAGUUGGCGGGGUAAAGGCCCACCAGGGCGACGAUCCGUAGCUGGUCUGAGAGGAUGAUCAGCCACACUGGAACGGAGACACGGUCCAGACUCCUACGGGAGGCAGCAGUGGGGAAUAUUGGACAAUGGGCGCAAGCCUGAUCCAGCCAUACCGCGUGGGUGAAGAAGGCCUUCGGGUUGUAAAGCCCUUUUGUUGGGAAAGAAAAGCAGCAGGUUAAUACCCCGCUGUUCUGACGGUACCCAAAGAAUAAGCACCGGCUAACUUCGUG